rnacentral:miRNA from 10 species
CGAGGACCAUUGCUGUAUUCGCA